ACUUUCAUGUAUUUGUUCUACCUAUAACAUAGACUUCAAACAAAAACAAGCAAACCUCAUAACAAGAAACCAUGUGUUGCUGCUGCUGUGAUGAUGAUUGUAAAUGCAGGCCUUUAGGCUUUCUCUUAGGCCUGCCAUUUGCUUUCCUCUCCGUAAUCCUCUCUAUCAUCGGGGUGUUUGUGUGGAUUGUUGGAUUGGUGUUGACUUGCAUAUGCCCUUGUUGCUUGUGUGUGACCAUUAUAGUUGAGUUCGCGCUGGGGUUGAUCAAGGCUCCCAUUCUGGUUAUGAAGUGGUUUACCUCAAAGAUUCCUUGCUAGAUUUCUUGAUUCAGAGUGCAUAUAGAUGUCAAGAUUCGUCAAUUCCUGUUUUGCAGUAUAUGCGAUUGCAUUCAUUGUUGAUUAUUGUUGGAUGUAGUUUGACUUUUUUAUCUGGACAUGGGAAUAUGAUGCCUGUAUUUUCUGGCCCAUCUUGAUUCCCCAUGUUCUUUACCUUAUGUUAAAUUCGAUUCUUCCUUCUUUUGAUUAUUUGACAUAUUAUAAGAUA